ACCUUCUGGGAUAGCUCAGUUGGCAGAGAAUGAGACUCUUAAUCUUAGGGUUGUGGGUUCGAGUCCACAUUGGGUG